rnacentral:tRNA from 1 species
GCGGAUGUGGCGGAACUGGCAGACGCGCUAGAUUCAGGUUCUAGUGCCCGCAAGGGCGUGGAGGUUCGAGUCCUCUCAUCCGCA